rnacentral:ncRNA from 1 species
CGGUGCUUGCAUCACCCGACACCGAGUGACCGGAUUAAUCGGAUUAGCUCGCUCACUUGUGGACGAGCCCGAAUCAUCCGGGCCCGGUCUCCGUCACGGAGGU